AUUGAACGCUGGCGGCAGGCCUAACACAUGCAAGUCGAGCGGAUGAAGGGAGCUUGCUCCUGGAUUCAGCGGCGGACGGGUGAGUAAUGCCUAGGAAUCUGCCUGGUAGUGGGGGAUAACGUCCGGAAACGGGCGCUAAUACCGCACACGUCCUGAGGGAGAAAGUGGGGGAUCUUCGGACCUCACGCUAUCAGAUGACCCUAGGUCGGAUUAGCUAGUUGGUGGGGUAAAGGCCUACCAAGGCGACGAUCCGUAACUGGUCUGAGAGGAUGAUCAGUCACACUGGAACUGAGACACGGUCCAGACUCCUACGGGAGGCAGCAGUGGGGAAUAUUGGACAAUGGGCGAAAGCCUGAUCCAGCCAUGCCGCGUGUGUGAAGAAGGUCUUCGGAUUGUAAAGCACUUUAAGUUGGGAGGAAGGGCAGUAAGUUAAUACCUUGCUGUUUUGACGUUACCAACAGAAUAAGCACCGGCUAACUUCGUG
rnacentral:rRNA from 1 species